AGAGUUUGAUCCUGGCUCAGGACGAACGCUGGCGGCGCGCUUCAAGGCAUGCAAGUCGAACGAGAACCCCGGGCUUGCCUGGGGGGAGAGUGGCGAACGGGUGAGUAACACGUGAGGAACCUGCCCCGAAGACCGGGAUAACGCCGGGAAACUGGUGCUAAUACCGGAUGUCCUCGCUGGAUCGCAUGGUCCGACGAGGAAAUGGAUUCCGCUUCGGGAUGGCCUCGCGUCCUAUCAGCUUGUUGGUGGGGUAACGGCCCACCAAGGCAGCGACGGGUAGCUGGUCUGAGAGGAUGUCCAGCCACACUGGGACUGAGACACGGCCCAGACUCCUACGGGAGGCAGCAGCUAGGAAUCUUGCGCAAUGCGCGAAAGCGUGACGCAGCAACGCCGCGUGGGGGAAGAAGGCCUUCGGGUCGUAAACCCCUUUCAGGAGGGACGAAGCCAGGGCGGUGAAUAGCCGACCCUGGUGACGGUACCUCCAGAAGAAGCCCCGGCUAACUACGUGCCAGCAGCCGCGGUAAU
rnacentral:rRNA from 1 species